GUACCGACCUGCACGAAUGGCAUAACAACAUCCGCACUGUCUCGACCAGGGACUCAGCGAAAUUGCAUUGGGGGUGAAGAUGCCCUCUACCCGCGGCAAGACGGAAAGACCCUAUGAACCUUCACUGCAACUUGGCAGUGAUUUUCGGGUUGUUCUGCGUAGGAUAGGUGGGAGGCUUCGAAGUCGGGGUUCUGGCCUCGAUGGAGCCAACCUUGAAAUACCACCCUGGACAACCUGGGAAUCUAACCUGCACCCGUGAUCCGGGUGAGGGACACUGCCUGGCGGGCAGUUUGACUGGGGCGGUCACCUCCUAAAGCGUAACGGAGGUGUGCGACGGUUCCCUCAGCCUGAUUGGAAACCAGGCGUAGAGUGCAAACGCAUAAGGGAGCCUUACUGUGAGAUCGACGGAUCGAGCAGUUGCGAAAGCAGGUGUUAGUGAUCCGGUGGUACCGGAUGGAAGGGCCAUCGCUCAACGGAUAAAAGGUACUCUAGGG
rnacentral:rRNA from 1 species